CACAACAACUCAACCCUCAAGGUCAAGCGCGCGACACCUACACGCAACGCUAUCCACGACUAAAAUCCAGGCGAAAGUCAUGCAAGGGAGCCUAUUUUCAUCACUCGGUUUCAUGUUGUGUGCACCAAACACGAACACUCCAUAAUGAAAAUACACUACACCUUGGAUCCACCUCUAACAUCCGUUAUAGAGGCAUACCCAACACGACCCAAUUAGUUAACCUUUCGCCACAAUUUCAAAUCCUCGUUACAUUUCAAGAACCUAAAGCCUUAUGGUUUCCAACCUAUGGUCCCUAAGUCCAUCCUAGACUUUUGCUUUCACUUGUUCUAAUACCACUAUAUCUGUCACGCCCCGGGACCCGCCAAUUUGGUCGGAUUCGAGCACAUGACAGACGCCGAAUGGACAGCACCUCCCCUGUCAGCCCAAGGCUCCACCAAUACAUGUAUAACGAUAGCAAUUCAAACAUAAUGAAUGCAAGUAUACACGGCUUGCACGAGGGCAAGCAACAACCAAACAUAAGUGAGAGCAAUCUAACUAUUACAUUUAUACAUUGUAUAUUGAUCACUUUCAAUCAAAUACAAAGCUUAUACAAUUUCUUUACAUUCAUUCAUCUCAAUAUACAAUUGCAUCUCUCAAAUGAACUUAAUACAUUUUCACCUCUCACAUGAUUUUAUUACAUUUACCUUUUACAUUUUACAUCAUCGACAUAAUAGAUGAAACAACAAGGGUGCCU
rnacentral:lncRNA from 1 species